rnacentral:rRNA from 1 species
AGAGUUUGACUCUGGCUCAGGAUGAACGCUGGCGGCGUGCUUAACACAUGCAAGUCGAACGAAGCACUUUUGAUUGAUUUCUUCGGAAAGAGAGAGACUGUGACUGAGUGGCGGACGGGUGAGUAACGCGUGGGUAACCUGCCUCAUACAGGGGGAUAACAGUUAGAAAUGACUGCUAAUACCGCAUAAGCACACAGCUUCGCAUGAAGCAGUGUGAAAAACUCCGGUGGUAUGAGAUGGACCCGCGUCUGAUUAGGUAGUUGGUGGGGUAACGGCUCACCAAGCCGACGAUCAGUAGCCGACCUGAGAGGGUGACCGGCCACAUUGGGACUGAGACACGGCCCAAACUCCUACGGAAGGCAGCAGUGGGGAAUAUUGCACAAUGGGGGAAACCCUGAUGCGGCGACGCCGCGUGAAGGAUGAAGUAUUUCGGUAUGUAAACUUCUAUCAGCAGGGAAGAAAAUGACGGUACCUGACUAAGAAGCCCCGGCUAACUACGUGCCAGCAGCCGCGGUAAUACGUAGGGGGCAAGCGUUAUCCGGAUUUACUGGGUGUAAAGGGAGCGUAGACGGUAAUGCAAGUCUGGAGUGAAAACCCGGGGCUCAACCCCGGGACUGCUUUGGAAACUGUGUAACUAGAGUGUCGGAGAGGCAAGUGGAAUUCCUAGUGUAGCGGUGAAAUGCGUAGAUAUUAGGAGGAACACCAGUGGCGAAGGCGGCUUGCUGGACGAUGACUGACGUUGAGGCUCGAAAGCGUGGGGAGCAAACAAGGAUUAGAUACCCUGGUAGUCCACGCCGUAAACGAUGUUGGUAGGUGUCGGUAAGCAAAGCUUAUCGGUGCCGCAGCAAACGCAAUAAGUAUCCCCCCGGGGGGGGCGUUCGCAAGAAAGAAACUCAAAAGAAAUGACGGGGACCCGCACCAGCGGUGGAGCAUGUGGUUUAAUUUGAAGCAACGCGAAGAACCUUACCUGGUCUUGACAUCCCUCUGACAGCUGAGUAAUGUCGGUUUUCUUUCUGGACAGAGGAGACAGGUGGUGCAUGGUUGUCGUCAGCUCGUGUCGUGAGAUGUUGGGUUAAGUCCCGCAACGAGCGCAACCCCUAUCUUCAGUAGCCAGCAUAUAAGAUGAGCACUCUGGAGAGACUGCCAGGGAUAACCUGGAGGAAGGUGGGGAUGACGUCAAAUCAUCAUGCCCCUUAUGAUCAGGGCUACACACGUGCUACAAUGGCGUAAACAAAGGGAAGCGAGCCUGCGAGGGGGAGCAAAUCCCAAAAAUAACGUCUCAGUUCGGAUUGUAGUCUGCAACUCGACUACAUGAAGCUGGAAUCGCUAGUAAUCGCGAAUCAGAAUGUCGCGGUGAAUA